GCCUGGGUGGCUCAGUCGGUUAAGCGUCUGACUUCGGCUCAGGUCAUGAUCUCGUGGUCCGUGAGUUCGAGCCCCGCGUCGGGCU
rnacentral:tRNA from 1 species